rnacentral:rRNA from 1 species
UACGUAGGGUGCAAGCGUUGUCCGGAAUUAUUGGGCGUAAAGAGCUCGUAGGCGGUUUGUUGCGUCGGCUGUGAAAUCCCGAGGCUCAACCUCGGGUCUGCAGUCGAUACGAGCAAACUAGAGUGUUGCAGGGGAGACUGGAAUUCCUGGGUGUAGCGGUGAAAUGCGCAGAUAUCAGGAGGGAACACCGGUGGCGAAAGGCGGGUCUCUGGGCCGAAACUGACGCUGGAG